rnacentral:lncRNA from 1 species
AUGUUUUUCUAAUUCUGAGUUCAUUUGAAUUGGACGAGCUUUUGUGGGAAUCUCUUUUUCAAGAAAAUUUUCAUCAUAAGGUAAAUCAACAAUAUGUUGUUUUCGAUUCCAAAAAGCAGUUGGUAAAUCUGAACAAAUUUCUUUCUCAAAUAAUUUAUUUAAGUUUGAAAUUUUUUCUUUUAUCUCUUUUGAAUUUAGGGUUUCUAAGGUCUUUUGAAGUAAAACUUCUAAUUUUAAAUGUUCCAGGUGGAAGGUUUUACUAUGGAUUAAAGAGUUUAGAAAGUUUUCUUGUAUAGAACAAGCUUUUAUUAAGUUUAGACUUCGCUUUUUUGGUGUUUCGAGAAAUUUAAAAGAUAAUUUUAUAUUUUGAUUUUUGAAGGAAAUUUUAUCAUCCAUAAUUUUAUAUGGUGUGAUCAAAUUAAUAAAUGGUGUUCCUAAAAUAACAUUUUGAUAUAUAUCAUCCGUGAGAACGAAUGCAGUUUUAAUAAGAAUAUUUUCUUUUAAUAUUGAAGCUUCUGCUUUAGAUGUUAUACGAAGUUCAGAGUUAUUUGCAGCAGAUAGUUUUUCUUUAGUUUCAAGAUGAAAACAUUUUGGAACAAGCCCAGACUUGAUGCAGUUAAGAUCUGCACCAGUGUCGAACAAAGCAAUUGUGUCAAUAUUGUAAUUUUCAGAAAAAAACAAUGGUGACUCUAAUUUUAUAUUUUCGAGAAGUUAUUCGUAGAACGAAAAAGAAAUCAUUAGGGGCCAUAUCUAGAGAUUGAAUUUGUUCUUUGAGAUUUUCAUCUUGAUUAUUUAGGCAAUCAUUUACUUGUUCUUCCGAACUAGAAUCAUGAGGAUCUUUGAUGGAAGAUAUGAUCGAGUGAAAAUAUUCAGAAUCUUGUCUUUGUUUUUCUUUGAGGAUUUUUAGAUCAUUUUUUACUUCUUUGAUUUCAAUCAUAAUAUCUUGUAUUGUUGUUUUCGAGGUGUCUUUCUUUCUUUUGUUGAGAAUAGUGGUGAGAUCAUAAGAGGAUUUGGAGGAACUUGGACCAUAAGAUUUUAGGGAAUUAUCUAUGUUUUUAUCAUCUUUUCGUUUAAAGAGGAAAUAAUUUUCUCAAGAAAUUUCUGUUUUAGGCUUGGAUCAGAAAUGGAAUUUAAUAUUUCAAGUUGUAAUUCUUGAUGUUUUAGUGAGGACAUAGAUAUUCUUUUCAUAUGACUCUGAACUAGAUGAUGAACUAUUUAGUUCAUCAACCUGAAGGGCCUUUUCAGAAGCCACAGAUGAGUCAGAGUCAUAUGACGAAGAGGAAUCAUUUAGUAAAAGAUUAGCUAUUUUAUUUGAAAUUUCUUCUCCGAGGUUUAGUUCCAGGAUUUUGAGAUUAAAACGACAAAACUUUGAAGUGUGACCUUUCUUAUUGCAUUUAAAGCAUGUAAGAUCUUUAUAGAAAGGUUUUUUGGCUGGGGUUUCCUUAGAAGGGAAUUUUUUUGGGGGUUUUUUCCAUGAAUUUUCACGACUUCUAAAACUUUUAUAGUUUCUAGAAUGUGUUCUAGGCUUAUUUUUAGAGUAGUAGUUUUUGUUGCAAUCACCUACAGAAGAUUUACUACCUUGAUUGAGGUCUAUUUCAAAUUGUUUACAGAAUGAUCCUAAUUCUACUUUUGUUCUUUUGAGUUCCCAUUUAAGAUGUUUAUGGAGUUUCAGGUCUUGGCAUAUCCUAAGACCUUCUUGUUGAACAAUACUGACCAACUCUCCAUAAGUGAACUAACUUUGUCUCCUAAGAGAGUAGGAAGGCCAGCUAGGAAUUUUUCUUUCCAAAAAGGUUGGUUAGAAUCCUGACGGAGUAAGACUCUAGUAAGAAAUGUGUUUUUGUACCAUUGGAAAUCACUUAGUUUUUUGCAUUUAAGGUUUGAAAGGAGUUCAGCAUUUUUAUCUCUAAGGACCGAGGGGUCUCCUAUAAAAUGCAUGGUUAUGGCUAUGACUAAAGUAGCAACAGCAUCUUGUUGAGGAUUUCCGAGAUUAUCUAGGAUUGGUACAUUAUCUUUAUCCGUUUUAAUUGAAUCUAGGAUUUCUGUUCGUUGCUGAUUGGUUAGGUAAUUAUCCCACCAUCCUUUUAGCUGUCCCGAAAAGCCAGCUUUUAGGAGUUCAGCUACGGUUUUAUCCUCAUUUCCUAUUUGGGUUCUAUAAGCGUUUGCGGCCAUUGUCAUUUUUUGGAGGAAACUUAAAAUGUUAUAUUCAGAUAUACCAUCAAUAUUCCAGUCAUAGACUGAUGAUGAGUUAAAUCGAGAUUGCUCUAUUGGUUGGAUUUGUCCUAGAUCAGGGGCUGAGAUUAAUUGACGAUCUUGACGGUUUUGCCUAUCAAGACGGUUUAUUUUUGGGACAGAAUUUUGAUCAGAACAUUCACUAAUGUCUGAAUCAUUGGCUAGAGUGUUUAUUUGGAUUUUAGAUGUAGGAGUAUCGGGGAUAUCAGAAAUAUGUGGCAUGCUACUAUCUCCUAUUUCAGCUUUACUUAAUUGACUUUGGAGGGCACAAAUGAAUUCAAGGUUUGUGUCUUGGUAAGUUUUGACACUUGAAUUGGAAAUUUGGAAAGGUUUAAACAUGGGACUUUUGUUUUUCUUUUCAGAAGGAGACUCCAUUUGAAUGGGGUUUUGAUUUUGGAUUGAUUUUUCAAUCCUAUCAAGUUGUUUGCUUAUUGUACCAAGAUUAGUGUUUGAAAAAUUGUUUUGAACAAUGAUAUUUUUUAUAUUAGCUUUAUCAUCUUCUUGGGGUCGUUUAAAAGGAAUUGCUUCAAUUGGGGUUCCUAACCAAUCUAGCUUUAUCCCUUGGGGGAGGAGGAUGAUUGGAGCGAAUAAUUUUACCAUUAGCAAGUGUUUCCCAUUCAGGAGUUUUAUUGCGAUUGGUAAUUGGAUUCACUGUUUUAGAAAAAGGAAAAUUUAUACUGUUCUUAGAAGCAUAAUCUUCAAACCAAUUAAAAAAUAAAAUUUGUACCUUAUGUGUUUGAAGAUAAUCAUAAAAUUCAUUCUGAAUGUUAUUUCUUUCUUUUAAAAAGUUCUUGAAGAACCAAAGCCUUUUUUGACUAUUAUUUUUAGAGUAAAAAUCAUCUCUUAAAAACUCUUUGUCAAUUGAAAAUUCUUUUUCUAAAACAUUUAAUUCAUUUAACAUGUUAUCUGUAAUGGCUGAAAAAGUUGGACUUGUUGGCUCAGAUUUUGUAAUAAAUUCAUUUUGUGAAAGAUCGUUUUCCGCAGAGUAAACCGGUUUUGGAAUCUGUGACUGAAAAUUAACAUUUUUUAAAACAGAAUUUGGAAUAUCCGAGGUUGAAAACCGGGGACGGAAUUUCAUACUCUUUUCUUCUUUAGGAAAAUCAUGACCUAAUUGUGAGACUCUUCCUAAAUCAAUAGUUUCUGGAUUAGAAGAAGAUUCACACAUGUUAGAAGAAGAUCCACACAAAUAUUCUUCAAUCCUAUCUUGGUUAUUUCUGAUAAAAGACAGUUUUACUUUUCCAUCACGAAAUUGCUCAAUAUGUUUUAAACGUGUAUUUGGUUCUAUAGAUUCUUGGGGUGCAGGAAGUUUUGGUUGGACUGCUCCUUCGAGGAC